rnacentral:lncRNA from 1 species
AACUUGUCUCCAGCACUGCGGACACCCGGGUGACACAUUCUUUCGGAGAGGGAGGGCAAGACUUUUCUCCGGAGCCUCUGGCAACUCGUGGAGUCUAUAUAAGGUCUGGAUUGAUUGAUGACCACCGGCGGCCAAUGGCUCUGACACCACGCCAUCCUCGGUCGGGCAUCACAGCCCCACGUCCCCGACCUCAGCCUCCCGGGCGCGUUGGCAUCCCCGAACCCACAGCGCUGAGCCCGAGCCCGGGGCCGCCGCCUCCUCCCUGCUCUACGCCUGGGCGCUGCCAGGUUCCUUCCCUGGAACGGCGGAGAAAGGAAGGGAGGGAGCCAGCGAGCGUUGGAAGGGGGUGUGGAGGCCACGGGAUCUCCCCCUCUUCUGACAUCUUUUUUCACUUAAACUUUUGUUUGUCCCACCCCCCCGACCUGUUUGUGUUUGUUUGCAGCAUCUCAAAUCAAUUAUACAUUUUUCAUGAUCUUCAAAGAAAGAGAUAUCCUUUCGAGGCAACACAAGAAGCCAACUACAAAUGAGAAUAUUAUUCUCUUGGUGCAGGGAUUGUUGCAUGUGGACCCCAUCAGCCUUGAAAAGUCCAUGGAAUGGAGUGAAACUUGACAAAGCAGUUGCAGUCGUUCACCAGUGAAGCAAAGUCUUCUUCCUAGUCACGCAGGAAUUUUUUUGGGGGAGAUAACUUGAUGCCUGGAGCUGCUGCUGCAUCUUAUGUAAAUGACAACUAAGGAUAAAAACCACACACAGUACCCAAGGUGCAGUAAAAGAAGAUAUUUUGGGAGGAAGAGAGAAAGCAAGAGAGAGAAACCACAUUUUCAUAACUUUUGUUACAGUAUAUUGUUAUAAUUGGUCUAUUUUUAUUAUUAUUGUUGUUCAUAUUUUACUUUAAUUUAUAAAUUAAACUUC